UGACUUAUAAUAGGAUAAAACUUCAGCCGAGAGCUUUCCAACGACACCUCAUUGAGAAGUUUUUGGUCUGCUAUCACAUGUUAGUUUCAUCUUCGUCCAGUAAUUAGCUGAGUAUUUUUAAUACUAAAAUUUUUUAAAAGUAAAUUUAGAAAAAAUGAUUAUAAUUAUUGGAUAGAGAUAAGAAUGAUACGUGAGACCUUAACGAGAAGUUGUUGGAGAGCUGCUCACUAAAGUUUUAUGGUUAGCUCCACACGGCACGACUCUUUUCACUAUCACAUGUCCUUUUCCUCUCACUAUCUAAC
rnacentral:lncRNA from 1 species